AGAGUUUGAUCAUGGCUCAGGAUGAACGCUAGCGGCAGGCUUAACACAUGCAAGUCGAGGGGUAUUGGUUUUCGGACCAAGAGACCGGCGCACGGGUGCGUAACGCGUAUGCAAUCUACCUUUCACAGAGGGAUAGCCCAGAGAAAUUUGGAUUAAUACCUCAUAGUAUAUAGGCAAUGGCAUCAUUUUUAUAUUAAAGUCACAACGGUGAAAGAUGAGCAUGCGUCCCAUUAGCUUGUUGGUAAGGUAACGGCUUACCAAGGCAACGAUGGGUAGGGGUCCUGAGAGGGAGAUCCCCCACACUGGUACUGAGACACGGACCAGACUCCUACGGGAGGCAGCAGUGAGGAAUAUUGGACAAUGGGCGCAAGCCUGAUCCAGCCAUGCCGCGUGCAGGAUGACGGUCCUAUGGAUUGUAAACUGCUUUUGCACAGGAAGAAACAACAUUACGUGUAAUGUGCUUGACGGUACUGGAGAAUAAGAUCGGC
rnacentral:rRNA from 1 species